rnacentral:lncRNA from 1 species
AAUAAUAAAAGGAAAACUUCACAAACCCCCGUGUGGUUUUAUACUUUUUCAUUUUAGUACCCUGUGCUGUAAAAUGUAUCAAGUUAGUAUCGUAUGGUUUCACACUUUCUCACUUUAGUAUCCUGUGGUUUAAAAUAUAUCAAGUUAGUAAUCUGUGGUUUUAUUUUUUUAUCAAGUUAGUACCCUGUGAUUUUAUUUUUAUGUCAAGUUAGUACCCAGUUGUUUUAUUUUUCUCUUAAUGAAAUAUUAAACCACAUGGUGUUAAAGUGAGAAAGUAUGAAAUCACAGAAUACUAACUUGAUACACUUUAAACCACAGGGUACUCAAGUGAGAAAGUACGAAACCACGGGAUACUAACUUGAUACACUUUAAACCACAUGGUACUAAAGUGAGAACGAGUGAACCACAAGGGGGGUAUUUGAAGUUUUCCCAAUAAUAAAUAUAAGGAAAAACUUCAAAAACCCCCUAUGUGGUUUCAUACUUUCUCACUUUAGUAUCCUGUGGUUUAAAGUGUAUCAAUUUGUCCCCCUAUGGUUUCGUUUUUCUCUUUUUAGUAUCAAUUUUAUUAUUAUUUUUUCUUAAAUCAGUGACAAAGUUAAAAUUAAAGAGUAUUAAAGUAAAUAUUCGAUAAAGCUAGGUGGGUAUCUGAAGUUUUUUAUAAAUAAUUUAACGAAGUAUUAAGAAAAAAGCUGCUGAAAAGAUAAAAACAAAACCACAGGGAGGCAAAUUGAUACACUUUAAACCAUAUGGCACUAAAGUAAGAGAGUGCGAAACUACGGGGAGGUUUUUUGAAGUUUUCCCUAAAUAUAAUUUAAACAAAUUUAAAUGAUUAAAUUUAAUUUUUUUAGAAAAUUUUGAUUUGUAAAUAUAUCUUUCUAAUUUUUUUUAAUGGUAGAUGCCUUAAAUAACUAUUUUAUCCUUACAAAUUUGUCACUACGAAAAGCUUUUUUUUUUUUUUUUU